GACAGAGGGUGCAAACGUUGUUCGGAAUUACUGGGCGUAAAGCGCGUGUAGGCGGCUAUGUAAGUCGGGCGUGAAAUCCCACGGCUCAACCGUGGAAGUGCACCCGAAACUGCGUAGCUAGAGUCCUGGAGAGGAAGGUGGAAUGCUUGGUGUAGAGGUGAAAUUCGUAGAUAUCAAGCGGAACACCGGUGGCGAAGGCGGCCUUCUGGGCAGUGACUGACGCUGAGACGCGAAAGCGUGGGGAGCAAACAGG
rnacentral:rRNA from 1 species